rfam:Myotis brandtii contig221890, whole genome shotgun sequence.
GGCGGUUCUCAGGUGACACACCCCAGAAUCAGGCUCCCUCCUCUCUGGUUCUGGGGUGUGUCACCCAAGAACCACC